rnacentral:rRNA from 1 species
GAUGAACGCUGGCGGCGUGCCUAAUACAUGCAAGUCGAGCGAACAGAUGAGGAGCUUGCUCCUCUGACGUUAGCGGCGGACGGGUGAGUAACACGUGGAUAACCUACCUAUAAGACUGGGAUAACUUCGGGAAACCGGAGCUAAUACCGGAUAAUAUAUUGAACCGCAUGGUUCAAUAGUGAAAGACGGUUUUGCUGUCACUUAUAGAUGGAUCCGCGCCGCAUUAGCUAGUUGGUAAGGUAACGGCUUACCAAGGCAACGAUGCGUAGCCGACCUGAGAUGGUGAUCGGCCACACUGGAACUGAGACACGGUCCAGACUCCUACGGGAGGCAGCAGUAGGGAAUCUUCCGCAAUGGGCGAAAGCCUGACGGAGCAACGCCGCGUGAGUGAUGAAGGUCUUCGGAUCGUAAAACUCUGUUAUUAGGGAAGAACAAAUGUGUAAGUAACGAUGCACGUCUUGACGGUACCUAAGCAGAAAACCACGGCUAACUACGU